UUUCCGUAGGUGAACCUGCGGAAGGAUCAUUGUCGAAACCUGCCCAGCAGAACGACCAGCGAACAUUUCCAACAACCGCGGGGCCACGGGGGCUUCGGCCCUCGUCGGACCCCUUGUGUCGUGGGGGGUGGGGCCGGCCGCAAGCAUCGUCUUGCUUCGUGCUCUUUCACCCAUGGCCUGUAACCAACCCCGGCGCGUGAAGCGCCAAGCAAUCUAAACUAAAAGAGCACGCUCUCGGAGGGCCCCGGGAACGGUGAGCCCACGGGACGCGGCUUCCUCUUUUGAGAACCAAAACGACUCUCGGCAACGGAUAUCUCGGCUCUCGCAUCGAUGAAGAACGCAGC
rnacentral:misc_RNA from 1 species